GUAGUGGGAUGACAGGCAGAAAGCGGCGAUUCUGCCGUUUUCAGCCAGUCUUUCUAUCAUGUUUCGCGCACAAUUUUUCAACAUACUUUUUUUCUAUUAUGAAACCCAAACAACAACAACAACCAAAAUAAACAAAACAUAACCUUAAAGAAAACUCGUGACGGUGGAUGUCUUGGCUCCAGCAACGAUGAAGAACGCAGCAAAAUGCGAUACGUAGUGCGAAUUGCAGAAUCCGUGAAUCAUCGAAUCUUUGAACGCAAGUUGCGCUCGCGGGCAAUCCUGCGAGCAUGUCUGUUUGAGUGUCCGCACAAAUGAGCCUUUUGCUUCUUUCCAACAGAGAAAGAAGCUGCUGAUGGGUGUUUCUGUCCAUCGUAAAAAGUGGUUCCAGAAAGUUUCCGUGCAACCCUGAAAGGGGGGAAGCGGUCACCUGAAGAAUAGCUUUGUAUGGGAUGUUGUUUUGUCGGUUUGAGUAUGGGUCGGCACUUUUCUUUCGGGAAGAGUGUAGAUGCAAGAGCGGUUGUGGAAGGUGCAACUGCAGAAUCGGCUAGACAAUGCUUCCCCGCAGGAGUAGAAUACACGACUGUGAAGGGGAUCGCAGAGGAUGGUUUGGUUUCGGGCAAAAUGCCCUCUGUAUCGUCGAUCGUACCUUUUAAACUGUAUAUACAGAACUUCAUUUGCAGAUAAACCUUUUUAACAUUUUGGAUCUCAAAUCAGACAAGACGACCCGCUGAAUUUAAGCUAU
rnacentral:rRNA from 1 species